rnacentral:rRNA from 1 species
AACGAACGCUGGCGGCAUGCCUAACACAUGCAAGUCGAACGAGACCUUCGGGUCUAGUGGCGCACGGGUGCGUAACGCGUGGGAACCUGCCCUUAGGUUCGGAAUAACUCCCCGAAAGGGGUGCUAAUACCGGAUAAUGUCUUCGGACCAAAGAUUUAUCGCCUUUGGAUGGGCCCGCGUUGGAUUAGCUAGUUGGUAGGGUAAAAGCCUACCAAGGCGACGAUCCAUAGCUGGUCUGAGAGGAUGCUCAGCCACACUGGGACUGAGACACGGCCCAGACUCCUACGGGAGGCAGCAGUGGGGAAUAUUGGACAAGGGGCGAAAGCCUGAUACAGCCAUGCCGCGUGAGUGAUGAAGGCCUUAGGGUUGUAAAGCUCUUUUACCCGGGAUGAUAAUGACAGUACCGGGAGAAUAAGCUCCGGCUAACUCCGUG